rnacentral:rRNA from 1 species
UGCCCUCUCGGGUAGAUCUCCCACCCUUUGUUAACCANACNUUGUUGCUUUGUCUGGGCCGACUCUCGGGUCCGCCGGCCUUCGGGCUGGUCAGUGCCGGACAGAGGAAACUAAAACCUUUAUCACUGUCGUCANAGUACUAUAUAAUAGUUAAAACUUUCGACAACGGAUCUCUUGGUUCUGGCAUCGAUGAAGAACGCAACGAAAUGCGAUAAGUAAUGUGAAUUGCAUAAUUCAGUGAAUCAUCCAAUCUUUGAACGCACAUUGCGCCCUCUGGUAUUCCGGGGGGCAUGCCUGUUCNAGCGUCAUUACUACCCUCAAGGUCUGCUUGGUAUUGGGUCAGCCCCUCGGGGCUUUCCUCAAAUUCANUGGCGGCGUCCAUUGGGCUUCAAGCGUAUUAAUUCUUCUCGCUUUGGAGUUCCGGUGGGAGCUUGCCAGCAACCCCAAACUUNCUAUGGUUGACCUCGGAUCAGGUAGGGAUACCCGCUGAACUUAAGCAU